CACCCACCAUGCAAGGUUGAUUGGAUCAGAGACUUCAGUGGCAGCACUGCAAUGCUUGUAACGUGGGGUGCCGUUGCUUUCACACAGAUUUGCCUCAGAACAGGCAUCAGGUGAAACGUGUGGAAGGCGUUGAACUGGAGGAGGGAGGAGACGAGGUGUAGCAGCUCGCUCCAUGAACCGCAAAUUGAGAAAUACCGUCAUACCAACAAGAACGGCUCCCCACAGGUUUUCACAACUUGUGAAUCCUCACUGAAGAGUGAGUGAGUGAGCCUCACUGGGCUGCGCUCAAGAGACUGUAGAUCAAGCACUGAAAGCUUAAAUUGCUCGAUGUCCGUAUUUGAGAACCUCAUACUCAAAAGCAAAGGAAUCAUUAACUAACCCAAACCUGCUUCAAAGUACCUGUAGCAACGGAAAUAGUUACCUGGUGCAACAAAAAUCCACUCAGCAGCAGCUGAAUUCAACACUUUAAGAAAAAUAUCAAUGCUAUAAGACCCUCCUGAGGACUACUCUACCACACGUGCUGCAGUGAAUGAACAUCAUUUGAAUCGGUGGUAUUAACAACACAAUUCAAGACUUUUCCACUGCUGGGUGAUUUCAUUCGGACUCUGUCGUGGUCUUCUCUGAAGCUGAGGCAUUUAGGAAGUUAAUGUACGUCUCCAUAAACAAAUCCUGAGCACCGGAACAUUUGGUUACACCUGUCAGCUGUGGAGACAGCGUUGGCAUUUCGUCUUGCUCAUCUUGCCCCUCAGUACUGCUGCCUUCAUUGUUACUGAUCUGAAGAAAAGAGAAAGAGAUCUCUAAUUAAAUGCAUUUAUUAAAAGCCAAUAGAUGUAAAUAAAAUGCAAAUCUGUUUUAUCACA